rnacentral:rRNA from 1 species
AAUGCCCGAAAGGGUGACCCAGCAACGCCGCGUGAAGGAUGGAGGCCGUAAGGUUGUAAACUUCUUUUGUAUGGGACGAAAAAGCUUGUUGAUAGCAAGCAUUGACGGUACCUUAAGAAAAAGCCCCGGCUAACUACGUGCCAGCAGCCGCGGUAAUACGUAGGGGGCAAGCGUUGUCCGGAUUUACUGGGUGUAAAGGGCGCGUAGGCGGGUUUGUAAGUCAGCGGUGAAAUCCUAUAGCUUAACUAUAGAACUGCCGUUGAUACUGCAAGUCUUGAGUUUGGAAGAGAGUAGCGGAAUUCCAGGUGUAGUAGUGAAAUACGUAGAUAUCUGGAAGAACACCAGUGGCGAAGGCGGCUACUUGGUCCAUAACUGACGCUGAGGCGCGAAAGCGUGGGGAGCAAA